GCGGCCGUGGUGUAGCUCGGUUAACACGUCGCUCUGUCACAGCGAAGAUCGCCGGUUCAAAUCCGGUCGGCCGCG
rnacentral:tRNA from 1 species